UCACAGUCAGCCAAUCAGCAGCAGACCCUCCCUCCCAGACCCUCCCACCUCCUGGACAGCUCACUAAGAAUGCAGCUUCACAAUGAAUGUAAAAUGGAUGCUGUCCAGGAGGUGGGAGGGUCUGGGAGUGAGGGUGUGCUGCUGAUUUGCUGGAAUGU